rnacentral:rRNA from 1 species
GCAGCCGCGGUAAUUCCAGCUCCAAUAGCGUAUAUUAAAGUUGUUGCAGUUAAAAAGCUGGUAGUUGGAUCUCGGGCCGCCGGCCGCGGUUCGGCCUCGUGGCCGCCUACUGCGGUCGGCGCCCAACCGGCGGGACGCCGCGGGUGCCCUUGACUGGGUCGCCCGCUGCACCCGCCCAGUUUACUUUGAAAAAAUUAGAGUGUUCAAAGCGGGCUCUCGCGCUCGAAUAAUGGUGCAUGGAAUGAUGGAAGAGGAUCUCGGUUCUAUUCUGUCGGUCUUCGGAACUCGAGAUAAUGAUUGAGAGGGACAGACGGGGGCAUUCGUAUUGCGGCGUUAGAGGUGAAAUUCUUGGAUCGCCGCAAGACGAACUACUGCGAAAGCAUUU